rnacentral:lncRNA from 1 species
GUGAGGCUGGAGCGGACUGGGGAACCCAGACCUGCCGAGCGACGUGGGCGAGCGGUGACCUGGACCACGGCGCAGACGCGGGCGAGCUGCGGCUCGGACGCCAGCGGACACGCGGGCGAGGGCCUUGGGAACUCCAAGACAGAAUGGCCCGAGGCCUGGACACUCUCUGAGGACAUCUCUGCAAAGGCCCCAGCGGCCCAGAUCACUUUGGGAAGCAGUGACAUCCAACCUGUAUCAAGUCUUCUAAUCUGUGAACAUGAGAUGGGUCUCGGCUGUGUUACCUAAGCUGGAGUGCAGUGGCUAUUCCCAGCACAAUCAUAGUGCACUACAGUCUCCAACUCCUGGGUUCAGGUGCUCCUUGUGCCUCCGCCUCCUGAAUAGCUGGGAUUGCAGGCAUGUGCCAUCAUGCCUGGCUAUGUGCCUUCAAAAAGACUACAGUUGUGGAUGGAGUGUUUUAUCAAUAUUAGUUGGUUUAUGAUUGUGUUUAGUUCCAUAUCCUAGCUGAUUUUCUAUCUGUUCUGUCCAUUCUUGAAGAGUCCAACUAUAAUUUUGAGUUUGUCUAUUUCUCCUCAAGUUCUGUCAGUUUUGCUGUAUAUAUUUGAGGUCUGUUUUUAGAUGUGUACACAUUUUAAAUGGUGUUGGGUCUUUACCAUUAUGUAAUGUCCCUCUUAAUCUAUUGUAAAUUUCCUUGCUUUGAGGUAUAGUUUGUCUUAUGUAAAUAUAAUCAGUUCAGUUUUCCUUUGACCAGCAUUUACGUAACAUAUCUUUUUCCAUUUUUAAACUUAUAAUCUACCUAUAUUAAAAUAUAUAGUCAGGCCAGGUGCAGCGGCUCAUGCGUGUAAUCCCAGCACUUUGGGAGGCCGAGGCAAGCAGAUCACUUGAGGCCAGGAGUUUGAGACCAGCCUGGGCAACGUGACGAAAACCUGUCUCUACC